rnacentral:rRNA from 1 species
AGAGUUUGAUCAUGGCUCAGGACGAACGCUGGCGGCGUGCUUAACACAUGCAAGUGGUGCGACGAACCAGGGCUUGCCCUGGGGCAAAGCCGCGAACGGGUGAGUAACACGUGGGUAACCUGCCCCGAUGACCGGGACAACUCGAGGAAACUCGGGCUAAUACCGGAUGUGGCGCACAGGCUCAAGCCUGUGCGCUAAAGGAAGCUUCGNNCUCCGCAUUGGGAGGGGCCCGCGGCCCAUUAGCUAGUUGGUGGGGUCAAGGCCCACCAAGGCGACGAUGGGUAGCUGGUCUGAGAGGACGAUCAGCCACACUGGGACUGAGACACGGCCCAGACUCCUACGGGAGGCAGCAGUGGGGAAUCUUGCGCAAUGCGCGAAAGCGUGACGCAGCAACGCCGCGUGGGGGAAGAAGGCCUUCGGGUUGUAAACCCCUUUCAGGAGGGACGAAGGUUCGCCGGUGAAUAGCCGUGCGGAUUGACGGUACCUCCAGAAGAAGCUCCGGCUAACUACGUGCCAGCAGCCGCGGUAAUACGUAGGGGGCAAGCGUUGUCCGGAAUCAUUGGGCGUAAAGCGCGCGUAGGCGGCCCUGUAAGUCUGCUGUGAAAGUCAAAGGCUCAACCUUUGAAAGCCGGUGGAUACUGCGGGGCUAGAGUCCGGAAGAGGCGAGUGGAAUUCCUGGUGUAGCGGUGGAAUGCGCAGAUAUCAGGAGGAACACCAAUAGCGAAGGCAGCUCGCUGGGACGGUACUGACGCUAAGGCGCGAAAGCGUGGGGAGCGAACAGGAUUAGAUACCCUAGUAGUCC